rnacentral:ncRNA from 1 species
AAAGGUUUGGUCCUGACUUUACUAUCGACUCUAGCUAGAUUUACACAUGCGAGUAUCCGCACCCCUGUGAGAAUGCCCCACAGUCCUCUGCCAGAAGACAAGGAGCUGGUAUCAGGCACCACCCCGAACUUACACGCCCACGACACCUUGCUUAGCCACACCCCCAAGGGAAAUUCAGCAGUGAUAAACCUUAAGCCAUAAGUGAAAACUUGACUUAGUUAAAGCUAAAAGGGCCGGUAAAUCUCGUGCCAGCCACCGCGGUUAUACGAGAGACCCUAGUUGAUAGAAAUCGGCGUAAAGAGUGGUUAAGGUAAAAUCUACACUAAAGGCCAAUACUUUCAGAGCAGUUAUAAGCAUCUGACGUAUAAUCUAAUCCCAACCACGAAAGUGACUUUAUUCACCCCGAUUCCACGAAAGCUAAGAUACAAACUGGGAUUAGAUACCCCACUAUGCUUAGUCGUAAAAAUUGAUAGGAAAAUUCACCCCCCUAUUCCGCCUGAGUACUACGAGCACCAGCUUAAAACUCAAAGGACUUGGCGGUACUUUAGACCCCCCUAGAGGAGCCUGUUCUGUAACCGAUAAUCCCCGUUAGACCUCACCCUCCCUUGUUCACCCCGCCUAUAUACCGCCGUCAUCAGCUUACCCUGUGAGGGAUCCAUAGUAAGCAAAAUUGGUACAACCCAGAAUGUCAGGUCCAGGUGUAGCGCAUGGGAGGGGAAGAAAUGGGCUACAUUCGCUAAUUUAGCGAACACGAACGACGUAAUGAAAAAAACAUCCGAAGGAGGAUUUAGCAGUAAGUGGAAAACAGAGUGUUCCACUGAAGUCGGCUCUAAAGUGUGCACACACCGCCCGUCACUCUCCCCAGCAACCUGAAACACAAUAACUAAUUAACACCUAGACCGCAACGGGGAGACAAGUCGUAACAUGGUAAGUGUACCGGAAGGUGUACUUGGACAAAU